CGCGUCUUGGUCAAUGAUUUUAGGUGCUUGCACUUGACNNANNGACNUUGAGACGAGUGGCGAACUGGUGAGUAACACGUGGGUAACCUGCCCUUGAAGUAGAGGAUAACACUUGGAAACAGGUGCUAAUACUGCAUAACAACGAAAACCGNCUGGNUUUCGUUUGAAAGAUGGCUUCNGCUAUCGCUUUAGGAUGGACCCGCGGCGUAUUAGCUAGUUGGUGAGGUAACGGCUCACCAAGGCAAUGAUACGUAGCCGACCUGAGAGGGUAAUCGGCCACAUUGGGACUGAGACACGGCCCAAACUCCUACGGGAGGCAGCAGUAGGGAAUCUUCCACAAUGGACGAAAGUCUGAUGGAGCAACGCCGCGUGAGUGAUGAAGGGUUUCGGCUCGUAAAACUCUGUUGUUGGAGAAGAACGGGUGUCAGAGUAACUGUUGACAUCGUGACGGUAUCCAACCAGAAAGCCACGGCUAACUACGUGCCAGCAGCCGCGGUAAUACGUAGGUGGCAAGCGUUGUCCGGAUUUAUUGGGCGUAAAGCGAGCGCAGGCGGUUUUUUAGGUCUGAUGUGAAAGCCUUCGGCUUAACCGGAGAAGUGCAUCGGAAACCGGGAGACUUGAGUGCAGAAGAGGACAGUGGAACUCCAUGUGUAGCGGUGAAAUGCGUAGAUAUAUGGAAGAACACCAGUGGCGAAGGCGGCUGUCUGGUCUGCAACUGACGCUGAGGCUCGAAAGCAUGGGUAGCGAACAGGAUUAGAUACCCUGGUAGUCCAUGCCGUAAACGAUGAGUGCUAAGUGUUGGAGGGUUUCCGCCCUUCAGUGCUGCAGCUAACGCAUUAAGCACUCCGCCUGGGGAGUACGACCGCAAGGUUGAAACUCAAAGGAAUUGACGGGGGCCCGCACAAGCGGUGGAGCAUGUGGUUUAAU
rnacentral:rRNA from 1 species